rnacentral:lncRNA from 1 species
CACCGUUUCGAGAAAGAAAAACUCCGGGAUGACGAGCAGCUCACCGCGAAGUCGACUGCGUCCUCGGUUCGGUCCAAAAGGGAAUAGGAGGAGCGCGCGGCGGUGGCAGUUCGACUCCAGGCUCGGCGGGAUCUCGAACUCGGCGAAGAGCGGCGUCUAGGGCUUGGUUUCGCGGCGGGUUUGAAGCAACGGAGCGCGACCGACGUCUAAGACCUUUAUAGGGGCUUGCGGCGCACGGAAAUCGAUCCGGGUAUCACGGGAUUGAUUCGGUGAUUUCCACCGAGUCCGGCUCGAAGACGCUCGAGGAAGAGGAUUGGAGCGCUGACAUGCGGGGCCCGGCUGGCGGUGGGAGAAGAGAAUGGGCCCGCUCGUCAUCCACACAGAGAGAGAGGGAAAACGCGCGGGUCGGCCUGGCGCCUAGUGGGCCGCGCAAGCAGGCCGGAGGUGGAGGAGGCGCGCGGGGGGUUUCUGGGCUGCGGCCUGGUUAUUCCAGGGAGGUUUUCCUUUUUUUUUUCUUUUCUUUUCUGGUUUCAAAACCAAUUAUAAACAUUUUUAAAAACAUUUAAAUUCAGUUAGUAGCUUGUUCAAAAUCACUCAUCUCAAAAAUAAAAUGCACCAGCAUGAUUAACACACAAUUGUUGCUAAGCCUUAUAAUAAAUUUUAUUUUAAAGAAAAAAAUAUUAUUCUCCCUAUAUUCUCAUGAGCACAAAAAUACAAAAUUAAAUCAUUUUUCACCUAUUUCAAAGGUUGCAAAUUUUUGGGUGUUACAUGAUCACCAAAACCAAAUCCCUAAGCAAUACCUUUGCCUUGAUCUCCAUAGGGUUUUGUUUUUCUCUUUCUUCUUUUCAAAGCUGAGCACUUGAUCAUAUUGUGGUCAUCAACAUCAUCACUAUGAUCAUUACUUGCUCCAUCACUUGGCAUGUACUAACCUUAUUAAGUCUACACACACUCAGUAUAGAAGUUAGUAGGUUUCAUCAAUUAUCCAAAACCAAACUAGGGAUUUCAGUUAUGUCUCCCAUUAUUUCGACUAUCGCCCCCAGUAGGAAAAUACCUUAGUACACUUAGAAUAUCACAGCCAGAUUGUUUCUACUAGAUAGACCUCUUUAUACCUAAUCCUAAACCCCUUUGAUCAUCACCUGACGAUCUUAACCUAGUUGAAUCACUUUGCAUUCCCUGUUGAAAAUACAAUGCCUGGAUACUCCCGGUUAAGGCUACAUUGACUACUGUACGCUUGCGGUAUAUUCGUUUGCCACUUCUGGUGUCAACACUAAUUAUGACUAAGAUGGGAUCUUCUGACCCACCGACUUCUCAACCACUGCUAAUUGUUGUUAGAGAUCUUGUGCUUGUACUUUUGAAACAAGAGAGAGUGCACUACUUAAUGUGUUGCUCUACAUCAUUGAUAUUUGUGGAUACCACAUCGGUGACCUACAUUUCACCGAGUACAUAAUAC